rnacentral:rRNA from 1 species
CCUACGGGCGGCAGCAGUGGGGGAUAUUGCACAAUGGGGGGAACCCUGAUGCAGCGACGCCGCGUGGGUGAAGGAGCGUUUCGGCGCGUAAAGCCCUAUCGGCAGGGAAGAAGAUGACGGUACCUGACCCAGCAGCCCCGGCUAAAUACGUGCCAGCAGCCGCGGUAAUACGUAGGGGGCAAGCGUUAUCCGGAUUUACUGGGUGUAAAGGGGGCGCAGACGGCAAUGCAAGCCAGGAGUGAAAGCCCGGGGCCCAACCCCGGGACUGCCCUUGGAACUGCAUGGCUGGAGUACAGGAGAGGCAGGCGGAAUUCCUGGUGUAGCGGUGAAAUGCGUAGAUAUUAGGAGGAACACCAGUGGCGAAGGCGGCUUACUGGACUGUAACUGACGUUGAGGCUCGAAAGCGUGGGGAGCAAACAGGAUUAGAUACCCUUGUAGUC